AUCACAACUGCUGGCUGAAUCACGCAUUCUGGAAUUAAGGCAUAUUCAUGAGAUUAUCAGCUUAAGAAAGGGGACACCUCCGUUUUGAGGGCUGGGUUCGGGAAGAAGUUUCAAACUGCUCAUACCUCAAUGACAAAAGAUAGAAUGCUCAAAAUACCGGCAAAGGCAUUACUUCUAGUCGUUUACAAUGGAACCAACUCCCCCACAGGUCUGGCCACUGUCAUCCGAACAUUGGGUUGGUCAUCCGAAGAGGUCGUGGUGGACACGAACAAUCAGUUUCAGGUCGACAAAAUAGCUCAUCCAAUUAAGUGGAGACUGGGAUUGAUAAUCUGGUUUUCAAGGGACUUAUGAGCCACUAACAGAACAGCACCACUGUCUUAGGGACAAGAAAAAUUGGACAAUGAGAAGCUUACGUGUAGGUUGGCGGCGCAAGUAGAUCAAACUUGAAAACUUAUUACCAAAGUACGUAGAAUAUUCGCUCCUACUCGCGCAAAAUAGAAGGAUAACAAACGACAAGAAGCAACCAUUACAAACCGGAAUCACUAUACGAAAGCAAGAAGACACCAAAAUAUUUGGUCACAAGAAUGAUGAGGUACCUUUACAAUAAUCGUUGAAAGAAAACUGUUUCGCCCUUCCAUUUUAGAAAAGGGGUGAAUUUUAAGUUUCAUUCCUUGAGAUUGACUGUUUCAAAUCCAGUUCUUCCCUUUUUGGUUUUGCCUCUUUCAGACAGAAGAAGAUAUAAAUAGACAACCUUGACUAUUUUGAACUACGUUUGGCGCAACAUGGAAGAAUUACUUACUUUGAUCAAGCCAGUUUCAAACCACUUGAAAAAGAAACCAUACGAAGCCUAGAUCUAUACAGAAAAAGAAAGUCAUCUCUUCCCCAAUGGGAGUCCUAACCCUCAUCCUCUCCUGGCGAAAAAAUUCAUAAAUUUUUCCAUUUACAUCAGCUUGAAAUUUUUGGAGAGGGAGAUAGCCCUUUUGGUCAGCGGUCUUUGUCUUGGCCUUACCUCCGGUGACAAUGAGCCUCGCUCAAAAUUGCCAGUUCUUUACCGAGUAGACCAGGCUUCAUCAAAUGUGGUGGUUUACCGUGGAGCUCAAGUAGACCAAGCCCGUGCUGCUGGACUCCUCCCGUCCAAGGGAUACAGCAAACCUACCCCUGAACCAUCUUAUCCCCCUCCCCCCAAAUACCCGCAACCCUCUUAUCCUGAAC